CUUAAGGACUUCCAUCGGCACCUGCGUGGCAGAGGGAAGGGUGGUGGGCACACUGACGUUUAUGGCUGGUGUCUGACUCACGGGCACUCUCUGUUGCAUGAACUGGGCCGCCUGCAGCUUCUGCUGCUGCUCCCUGCGCUCCUGCUCCUGCAUCUGCUCACGCAUGAGUUGCUGGCGUAGCAAGAUGCGUGAUGUCAUACUGGAGGAGCUUAUCGGAGGCUUGGAGGCCCCAGGAUGCUCGGCGGAACUCUUCUUGAAAACAGGCACAGAGUCAAUUUCCUGGUUUCCUUUUCACAGAGAGAGAAAAUAGCUCGUGGGAAAACCACUGAAGUAUUUUCAAGGUGUCCCAUUUGACUUCAGAGAUGGAGCGGAAUAGGUCU
rnacentral:lncRNA from 10 species